ensembl:lncRNA
AUGCAGAGAGAUCAGGCUGAUGUGAUGAACAUUGUGGCCACUAUCCAAAAUAUGGUUAACCCUUUUGACCCAUUGCUGGAUGGAGAUUCUCUUUGUCACAUCUCUUCUGGCCAACAGGCAUCAGAAAAUGUUGCCACAGACUUACUAGGGGCUAAACAAAGAGGUGUUAAGGCACUCACUGAAUUCUGUGAAAAAAGGAUAGUCCAUGGCCAAGCAUCAUUUCAUGACCCUAUAAAGAAAAUGAAAAUAAAAACAUUUAAAGACAAUGGACAAAGCACAGUCACAAAAAUUAGAGGAAAAGAAAUUACCCUGACAUCACAUCGCAACUUGUUUGCAAGGCUAAUUGUUGUGGGCGGGGUUAGGCAAAUUAACAUCAAUGAAAUGCUCACUUACAGUUUGGGUCCUUUUCCACAGUCAAUUUCCAACUUUGAUGGCUCUCUGGUCAAAACCAACAAAGCUAAGCUGAUGCACAUCUUGCUAGAUCAGAUCAACCCGCCUGCAACAGUGAGUGACAUUCCUGAUGGCUCAGUUUGGAUUUGGGAUGCUAUGGCUCUGGUGCAACAACUAAAGCCACAGCCAACAUUUGGGUUGUAUGCUGAUCAUGUACUGAACACAUUAGUUCACUCAGCUAAGGCAACAAGGUCAACAGAGCUUCAUUUUGUAUGUGACACAUACAGCGACCUGAGCAUCAAAAAUGCUGAGCGUAGUCGGCGCGCAGAACAGGGCUACCAAAAAAUCAAAAUCUAUGGAGAUGACCAAAAAACCCCAAAGCAGUGGAAAAAAUUUCUGGCAUGUGGCCAAAAUAAAGAAAACUUACUGGAGUAUUUCUUCCAACAUUGGAGCUUAACUGCAAAGAAUAUAAUUGGCAAUAUAACCAUCAUUGUUGCACAUGGAAGCAAGUGUGACGCCAUUAAGAUGAAUGUGAGCAAUACUGACCUUGAGAUACUGGAACUCAAAGACCUAGAGACAAGUCAAGAGGAGGCAGACACCAGAAUGAUUCUGCAUGCAGCCCAUGCAGCCAAACACAGCCAUGACCUGGUAAUCAAGAGCCCAGACACCGAUGUAUUUGUGCUGGCUCUAGCUUUCUGCAGCCACAUUGAUGGCCACCUCCAUUUCCAUACAGCCAAGGGGAGAGACACACACAUUACUGAUAUUACCAAGCUACAUGCCCAUCUUGGCGAAGACAAAUGUGAUGCCCUUGUAGGUCUGCAUGCCUUUUCUGGAUGUGACACAGUGAGCGCUCUGCAUAAGGUUGGAAAAGAAAAAGCAUACAAAAAACUAAGUUCAAAAACAGAAUACAUCACCAUGUUUAGAGAACUAGGAACAAGUUUCACCCCAUCACCAGAACUAUUUGAGGCUCUGGAAGCUUACACGUGUGAUCUAUAUGAUCAGAAGGACUGCCAAGAUGUCAAUAUUGCAAGGGCCAACCUGUUCAAAUCAGGUAAAUGUUCUGAGAGAGACUUGCCUCCAAACAAAGACUCCUUGCAUAAACACAUCCAGCGGGCAAGCUAUCAGGCUGCAGUACACAGGAGGUGUCUUGAGUGCAUGCCAGACAUUCCUCCUCCUGUAAAUCAUGGCUGGAAGAUGGUAGGAGAUUUCUACGGAGUAGACUGGAUGACUCUUCCGCCAGCUCCAGAGGCCAUACUGGAACUUGUGCACUGCUCAUGUAAAAAAACUAAUUGUGUUAAAGGUAGAUGCACAUGUAAACUGCAUGAGCUGCCAUGUACAAACCUCUGUCAGUGUUUAAACUGUGACAAUAAGUCACUUGAAGAUGACUUGGGCACAUGUGUGUAUGCAUGUACACAUGUGGGGAGAUGUGUGUUUGCUACUCUUGCAGAAGUAAAUCUGUAUGACAGGUUUAUGUACAUUAUAACUCUGCUUUGUUUGAUAGUCUUAUGUUUUUUUGAUAGUUAUACUUAUCUUGUUUGUUUUAAAAUUAAAAAUAAAUGCAGUUUAUGUUCUUUGAUAGUGAUAAUCUUAUUUCUAAUACAUACAGUUCUAACUAACGUUAGAGUUCUUAGCUCUCCGGUUUGA